rnacentral:rRNA from 1 species
UCUUUUGUUUAUAUAAAAGAUUUGACCUGCUCUAUGAUUUAUUUAAUGGCUGCAGUAUAUUGACUGUACAAAGGUAGCAUAAUCACUUGUCUCUUGAUUGGAGUCUAGAAUGAAUGGUUUGAUGAAAAAUAUACUUUCUUUAUUUUAUAUAAAAAAUUUAAUUUUUUAGUUAAAAAGCUAAAAUUCUUUUAUAGGACGAGAAGACCCUAUAGAACUUUAUUUUGAUUAUUUUAUAGUUAAUAUAGAAUAUAUUUUGAUUGUAGAAUUUUUAUAAUUUUGUUGGGGUGACAGAAAAAAAUAAAUAACUUUUUCUAUUUUAGUCAUAAGUUAAUGUGUUUUUGAUCCUAUUGUUUGGAUAUAAGAUUAAGUUACCUUAGGGAUAACAGCGUUAUUGUUUCAGAGAGUUCUUAUCGAUGAAACAGUUUGCGACCUCGAUGUUGGAUUAUAAUAAGAUAUAGGAGUAGAAUAUUAUAUUCUAGGUCUGUUCGACCUUUAAAUUUUUACAU